AUGUUUCUCAGGGUCUUCUGUCUGGAGACGAGCACUUUUACUCCUGGUGAGUUCCUGUGGUUCACACAGACUCUCCUCCACGAUGAAGAGUUGUGAUGUUUCCUUCAGAGCAGGAAACUGGUGGGAAGACUUUGUUUCUUCUCCACUGUUGAUGAUUGUUCAGUGUUUCUGAACGAGACUCUGAUGAAGGAAACAUGAUCUGAGUGGA